UUCGGAUCGGAGUCUGCAACCCGACUCCGUGAAGCUGGAUUCGCUAGUAAUCGCGCAUCAGCCAUGGCGCGGUGAAUACGUUCCCGGGCCUUGUACACACCGCCCGUCAAGCCAUGGGAGCCGGGAGUGCCUGAAGUGCGUGACCGUAAAAGGAGCGCCCUAGGGCAAGACCGGUGACUGGGGCUAAGUCGUAACAAGGUACC
rnacentral:rRNA from 1 species